CCAUGAGGACACCGGUUGAUCCCUAGCCUCUCUCAUUGGGUUAAGGAUCCGCAUUGCCAUGAGCUGUGGUGUAGGUCACAGAUGCGGCUCAGAUCUGAUGUAGCUGUAUAGGCCAGCAGCUACAGCUCCCAUUCGACCUCUAGCCUGGGAACUUCCAAAUGCUGCCAGGUGCGGCCCUAAAAAGACAAAAAUUAAAAAGAAUAAAUAAAACAAGCAUUAGAAAAAAUCCAAACAAAGCCACAGAGCAUGUUAAUACAUUCAAGUGUUUACAAGACAAUUUUAUAAGAGUUUUUUUCAAUAAAUAGCUGCAACUAAUAACUUAGUAUUUGGUAUUUAACAAAAUUCAUAACAGUAUUCUCCUUUGUUUAUAAAUACAGGACAUGAUGAGAUGUGGAAAAUCAACCCAAGUGUACUGAAGAAGAAGGGUUACAGCUGUACUUAAAUAGAUCUUUCAAACUCAGGUGGAGUGGUUUGGCUGGACCCAGCCUGGCUCUGUUCUGCCACAAUGGACACAGCAGUUUUGAAGCAAAACUAUUUACCAAGUGCAGAGAGUCACGCCUCACCAGAGGGAACCUCACCAAGUCUCCUUGUACAGUUCUUCCUGGAUGUCUUCUUUAGCAAGGUUACACCUGGCACACAGACCCUGUCAGCUACUCACUGCAUUCCUUACAAACCCAAACCCACCGAGGAUCAGAGCGAAAAUGUGCAGUCCUUGCCCAGACCUCACCAUCCCUGGAUAAUACAUGGUGGUAUUAGGUAAAUUUUUUUUUUUUUUUUUUUUGGCAGUAGAGUGGUUGGCUUGUGGCUGGUUUAGGCAUGACAAUGCUGUUGAGUCUCUCUGCUGAGAGUCAAAGGAGGGAACCCCAAGAAGUAUCUCCUCUGUUCUCAGCUGGCAGCUGAAGAAGUAAUAGCAAGAGAGAGCAGCCCACACAACCUUGUCCUCCCUAUUGUAGCCCACUGGCAUCUCCUUCUGAGAUGGUGGCAGGGGCAUAGCCACAUAGAACUUGAGUUGAGACAGUGUACUUGCUGCUUCAAGCUGUGUCCCCAAACUUCCAGCUGCAUAUUUAAUUUCUGGUUUGGAGUAGUGGAGCCAGAGAAGUCAGGAAAGCAGGACCUGGGCAAAAAGAACGAGAAGAACCCACCCCAUGCUUUCAUUCCCACUCUUCUCUAUCCAUAGUCUUCUAACACUGGAAUUGCAGUAUGAAAUCCCCAGUAGCUAGUCGCCUGGCAACUUCCUGAGGCCCAAGAUGCUCACCUCUCCUUCUUUUCCUUCCCCAUACCUCUCCCCUUCUUCUUUCCACUUAAGUAGUUCAUAGAACCUCUUCCAGACUUAAGAAACUAAUUGCAAAUUACCUAUCUGAUUAUAGUUUAUACAUUUAAUUCGAAGCAGGGAAUUAAGCUCCCAAACACCACAAAAUGAAAGCUUGAGAUUCUCC
rnacentral:lncRNA from 1 species